CAUAGGUUAAUGAGGCGAACCGGGGGAACUGAAACAUCUAAGUACCCCGAGGAAAAGAAAUCAACCGAGAUUCCCCCAGUAGCGGCGAGCGAACGGGGAGCAGCCCAGAGCCUGAAUCAGUGUGUGUGUUAGUGGAAGCGUCUGGAAAGGCGCGCGAUACAGGGUGACAGCCCCGUACACAAAAAUGCACAUACUGUGAGCUCGAUGAGUAGGGCGGGACACGUGGUAUCCUGUCUGAAUAUGGGGGGACCAUCCUCCAAGGCUAAAUACUCCUGACUGACCGAUAGUGAACCAGUACCGUGAGGGAAAGGCGAAAAGAACCCCGGCGAGGGGAGUGAAAAAGAACCUGAAACCGUGUACGUACAAGCAGUGGGAGCACGCUUAGGCGUGUGACUGCGUACCUUUUGUAUAAUGGGUCAGCGACUUAUAUUCUGUAGCAAGGUUAACCGAAUAGGGGAGCCGAAGGGAAACCGAGUCUUAACUGGGCGUUAAGUUGCAGGGUAUAGACCCGAAACCCGGUGAUCUAGCCAUGGGCAGGUUGAAGGUUGGGUAACACUAACUGGAGGACCGAACCGACUAAUGUUGAAAAAUUAGCGGAUGACUUGUGGCUGGGGGUGAAAGGCCAAUCAAACCGGGAGAUAGCUGGUUCUCCCCGAAAGCUAUUUAGGUAGCGCCUCGUGAAUUCAUCUCCGGGGGUAGAGCACUGUUUCGGCAAGGGGGUCAUCCCGACUUACCAACCCGAUGCAAACUGCGAAUACCGGAGAAUGUUAUCACGGGAGACACACGGCGGGUGCUAACGUCCGUCGUGAAGAGGGAAACAACCCAGACCGCCAGCUAAGGUCCCAAAGUCAUGGUUAAGUGGGAAACGAUGUGGGAAGGCCCAGACAGCCAGGAUGUUGGCUUAGAAGCAGCCAUCAUUUAAAGAAAGCGUAAUAGCUCACUGGUCGAGUCGGCCUGCGCGGAAGAUGUAACGGGGCUAAACCAUGCACCGAAGCUGCGGCAGCGACGCUGAUGCGUUGUUGGGUAGGGGAGCGUUCUGUAAGCCUGUGAAGGUGUGCUGUGAGGCAUGCUGGAGGUAUCAGAAGUGCG
rnacentral:rRNA from 1 species